rnacentral:rRNA from 1 species
GUGCCAGCAGCCGCGGUAAGACAGAGGAUGCAAGCGUUAUCCGGAAUGAUUGGGCGUAAAGCGUCUGUAGGUGGCUUAAAAAGUCUCCUGUCAAAGAUCAGGGCUUAACCCUGGGCCGGCAGGAGAAACUCUUAGGCUAGAGUUUGGUAGGGGCAGAGGGAAUUCCCGGUGGAGCGGUGAAAUGCGUAGAGAUCGGGAGGAACACCAAAGGCGAAAGCACUUUGCUGGGCCACAACUGACACUGAGAGACGAAAGCGAGGGGAGCAAAAGGGAUUAGAUACCCCUGUAGUCCUCGCCGUAAACGAUGGAUACUAGAUGUUGGAUAGGUUAAAGCAUUCAGUAUCGUAGCUAACGCGUGAAGUAUCCCGCCUGGGGAGUAUGCUCGCAAGAGUGAAACUCAAAGGAAUUGACGG